rnacentral:rRNA from 1 species
UACGGGGGGGGCAAGCGUUGUUCGGAAUUACUGGGCGUAAAGGGCGCGUAGGCGGCCUGCUAAGUCGGACGUGAAAUCCCUCGGCUCAACCGGGGAACUGCGUCCGAUACUGGCGAGGCUUGAAUCCGGGAGAGGGAUGUGGAAUUCCAGGUGUAGCGGUGAAAUGCGUAGAUAUCGAGAGGAACACCUGCGGCGAAGGCGGGUCUCUGGGCCGAUACUGACGCUGAGGAGCGAAAGCGUGGGGAGCGAACAGG